rnacentral:rRNA from 1 species
GGUUAAGCGACUAAGCGUACACGGUGGAUGCCCUGGCAGUCAGAGGCGAUGAAGGACGUGCUAAUCUGCGAUAAGCGUCGGUAAGGUGAUAUGAACCGUUAUAACCGGCGAUUUCCGAAUGGGGAAACCCAGUGUGAUUCGUCACACUAUCAUUAACUGAAUCCAUAGGUUAAUGAGGCGAACCGGGGGGAACUGAAACAUCUAAGUACCCCGAGGAAAAGAAAUCAACCGAGAUUCCCCCAGUAGCGGCGAGCGAACGGGGAGGAGCCCAGAGCCUGAAUCAGUGUGUGUGUUAGUGGAAGCGUCUGGAAAGGCGCGCGAUACAGGGUGACAGCCCCGUACACAAAAAUGCACAUACUGUGAGCUCGAUGAGUAGGGCGGGACACGUGGUAUCCUGUCUGAAUAUGGGGGGACCAUCCUCCAAGGCUAAAUACUCCUGACUGACCGAUAGUGAACCAGUACCGUGAGGGAAAGGCGAAAAGAACCCCGGCGAGGGGAGUGAAAAAGAACCUGAAACCGUGUACGUACAAGCAGUGGGAGCACGCUUCGGCGUGUGACUGCGUACCUUUUGUAUAAUGGGUCAGCGACUUAUAUUCUGUAGCAAGGUUAACCGAAUAGGGGAGCCGAAGGGAAACCGAGUCUUAACUGGGCGUUAAGUUGCAGGGUAUAGACCCGAAACCCGGUGAUCUAGCCAUGGGCAGGUUGAAGGUUGGGUAACACUAACUGGAGGACCGAACCGACUAAUGUUGAAAAAUUAGCGGAUGACUUGUGGCUGGGGGUGAAAGGCCAAUCAAACCGGGAGAUAGCUGGUUCUCCCCGAAAGCUAUUUAGGUAGCGCCUCGUGAAUUCAUCUCCGGGGGUAGAGCACUGUUUCGGCAAGGGGGUCAUCCCGACUUACCAACCCGAUGCAAACUGCGAAUACCGGAGAAUGUUAUCACGGGAGACACACGGCGGGUGCUAACGUCCGUCGUGAAGAGGGAAACAACCCAGACCGCCAGCUAAGGUCCCAAAGUCAUGGUUAAGUGGGAAACGAUGUGGGAAGGCCCAGACAGCCAGGAUGUUGGCUUAGAAGCAGCCAUCAUUUAAAGAAAGCGUAAUAGCUCACUGGUCGAGUCGGCCUGCGCGGAAGAUGUAACGGGGCUAAACCAUGCACCGAAGCUGCGGCAGCGACACUAUGUGUUGUUGGGUAGGGGAGCGUUCUGUAAGCCUGUGAAGGUGUGCUGUGAGGCAUGCUGGAGGUAUCAGAAGUGCGAAUGCUGACAUAAGUAACGAUAAAGCGGGUGAAAAGCCCGCUCGCCGGAAGACCAAGGGUUCCUGUCCAACGUUAAUCGGGGCAGGGUGAGUCGACCCCUAAGGCGAGGCCGAAAGGCGUAGUCGAUGGGAAACAGGUUAAUAUUCCUGUACUUGGUGUUACUGCGAAGGGGGGACGGAGAAGGCUAUGUUGGCCGGGCGACGGUUGUCCCGGUUUAAGCGUGUAGGCUGGUUUUCCAGGCAAAUCCGGAAAACUAAGGCUGAGGCGUGAUGACGAGGCACUACGGUGCUGAAGCAACAAAUGCCCUGCUUCCAGGAAAAGCCUCUAAGCAUCAGGUAACAUCAAAUCGUACCCCAAACCGACACAGGUGGUCAGGUAGAGAAUACCAAGGCGCUUGAGAGAACUCGGGUGAAGGAACUAGGCAAAAUGGUGCCGUAACUUCGGGAGAAGGCACGCUGAUAUGUAGGUGAAGCGACUUGCUCGUGGAGCUGAAAUCAGUCGAAGAUACCAGCUGGCUGCAACUGUUUAUUAAAAACACAGCACUGUGCAAACACGAAAGUGGACGUAUACGGUGUGACGCCUGCCCGGUGCCGGAAGGUUAAUUGAUGGGGUUAGCGGUAACGCGAAGCUCUUGAUCGAAGCCCCGGUAAACGGCGGCCGUAACUAUAACGGUCCUAAGGUAGCGAAAUUCCUUGUCGGGUAAGUUCCGACCUGCACGAAUGGCGUAAUGAUGGCCAGGCUGUCUCCACCCGAGACUCAGUGAAAUUGAACUCGCUGUGAAGAUGCAGUGUACCCGCGGCAAGACGGAAAGACCCCGUGAACCUUUACUAUAGCUUGACACUGAACAUUGAGCCUUGAUGUGUAGGAUAGGUGGGAGGCUUUGAAGUGUGGACGCCAGUCUGCAUGGAGCCGACCUUGAAAUACCACCCUUUAAUGUUUGAUGUUCUAACGUUGACCCGUGAUCCGGGUUGCGGACAGUGUCUGGUGGGUAGUUUGACUGGGGCGGUCUCCUCCUAAAGAGUAACGGAGGAGCACGAAGGUUGGCUAAUCCUGGUCGGACAUCAGGAGGUUAGUGCAAUGGCAUAAGCCAGCUUGACUGCGAGCGUGACGGCGCGAGCAGGUGCGAAAGCAGGUCAUAGUGAUCCGGUGGUUCUGAAUGGAAGGGCCAUCGCUCAACGGAUAAAAGGUACUCCGGGGAUAACAGGCUGAUACCGCCCAAGAGUUCAUAUCGACGGCGGUGUUUGGCACCUCGAUGUCGGCUCAUCACAUCCUGGGGCUGAAGUAGGUCCCAAGGGUAUGGCUGUUCGCCAUUUAAAGUGGUACGCGAGCUGGGUUUAGAACGUCGUGAGACAGUUCGGUCCCUAUCUGCCGUGGGCGCUGGAGAACUGAGGGGGGCUGCUCCUAGUACGAGAGGACCGGAGUGGACGCAUCACUGGUGUUCGGGUUGUCAUGCCAAUGGCACUGCCCGGUAGCUAAAUGCGGAAGAGAUAAGUGCUGAAAGCAUCUAAGCACGAAACUUGCCCCGAGAUGAGUUCUCCCUGACUCCCUGAGAGUCCUGAAGGAACGUUGAAGACGACGACGUUGAUAGGCCGGGUGUGUAAGCGCAGCGAUGCGUUGAGCUAACCGGUACUAAUGAACCGUGAGGCUUAACCUU